rnacentral:rRNA from 1 species
UACGGGGGGGGCAAGCGUUGUUCGGAAUUACUGGGCGUAAAGGGCUCGUAGGCGGCCAACUAAGUCAGACGUGAAAUCCCUCGGCUUAACCGGGGAACUGCGUCUGAUACUGGAUGGCUUGAGUGUGGGAGAGGGAUGCGGAAUUCCAGGUGUAGCGGUGAAAUGCGUAGAUAUCUGGAGGAACACCGGUGGCGAAGGCGGCAUCCUGGACCACGCUGACGCUGAGGAGCGAAAGCCAGGGGAGCAAACGGG